rnacentral:rRNA from 1 species
GUUAUAUGGUCAAGUGAAGAAGCGCAUACGGUGGAUGCCUUGGCAGUCAGAGGCGAUGAAAGACGUGGUAGCCUGCGAAAAGCUUCGGGGAGUCGGCAAACAGACUUUGAUCCGGAGAUGUCUGAAUGGGGGAACCCACCUAACAUAAGUUAGGUAUCUUAAGCUGAAUACAUAGGCUUAAGAAGCGAACCAGGGGAACUGAAACAUCUAAGUACCCUGAGGAAAAGAAAUCAACCGAGAUUCCCUUAGUAGUGGCGAGCGAACGGGGACCAGCCCUUAAGCUGUAUUGAUGUUAGCGGAACGCUCUGGAAAGUGCGGCCAUAGUGGGUGAUAGCCCUGUACGCGAAAACAUCUUUACAGUGAAAUCGAGUAGGACGGAGCACGAGAAACUUUGUCUGAAUAUGGGGGGACCAUCCUCCAAGGCUAAAUACUACUGACUGACCGAUAGUGAACUAGUACCGUGAGGGAAAGGCGAAAAGAACCCCGGAGAGGGGAGUGAAAUAGAUCCUGAAACCGUAUGCGUACAAGCAGUGGGAGCCUACUUUGUUAGGUGACUGCGUACCUUUUGUAUAAUGGGUCAGCGACUUAUUUUCAGUGGCAAGCUUAACCGAAUAGGGGAGGCGUAGCGAAAGCGAGUCUUAAUAGGGCGUCUAGUCGCUGGGAAUAGACCCGAAACCGGGCGAUCUAUCCAUGGGCAGGUUGAAGGUUGGGUAACACUAACUGGAGGACCGAACCGACUACCGUUGAAAAGUUAGCGGAUGACCUGUGGAUCGGAGUGAAAGGCUAAUCAAGCUCGGAGAUAGCUGGUUCUCCUCGAAAGCUAUUUAGGUAGCGCCUCAUGUAUCACUGUAGGGGGUAGAGCACUGUUUCGGCUAGGGGGUCAUCCCGACUUACCAAACCGAUGCAAACUCCGAAUACCUACAAGUGCCGAGCAUGGGAGACACACGGCGGGUGCUAACGUCCGUCGUGAAAAGGGAAACAACCCAGACCGUCAGCUAAGGUCCCAAAGUUAUGGUUAAGUGGGAAACGAUGUGGGAAGGCUUAGACAGCUAGGAGGUUGGCUUAGAAGCAGCCACCCUUUAAAGAAAGCGUAAUAGCUCACUAGUCGAGUCGGCCUGCGCGGAAGAUUUAACGGGGCUCAAACCAUACACCGAAGCUACGGGUAUCACUUAGGUGAUGCGGUAGAGGAGCGUUCUGUAAGCCUGUGAAGGUGAGUUGAGAAGCUUGCUGGAGGUAUCAGAAGUGCGAAUGCUGACAUGAGUAACGACAAUGGGUGUGAAAAACACCCACGCCGAAAGACCAAGGUUUCCUGCGCAACGUUAAUCGACGCAGGGUUAGUCGGUCCCUAAGGCGAGGCUGAAAAGCGUAGUCGAUGGAAAACAGGUUAAUAUUCCUGUACUUCUGGUUAUUGCGAUGGAGGGACGGAGAAGGCUAGGCCAGCUUGGCGUUGGUUGUCCAAGUUUAAGGUGGUAGGCUGGAAUCUUAGGUAAAUCCGGGAUUCUAAGGCCGAGAGCUGAUGACGAGUU